rnacentral:lncRNA from 1 species
CUGGUACGCUGCUAGCGAAGCGGUGGUCAACGGUGCCGUCGACGUCGUCCUUGGCAGAAGGUAAGCCAAGAUCAAUCUCUCACAAUAUUCCUUUGUCAUCUGUGUUCUUAUGAAACUUAGUGAUUGGACUUUCUCUGUUAUGUUUCACAAAUUGCUACUUUUAGUUAUCCCCAUUGGCUUGCGGAUAUGCUCCUGCUGGGUUGUUCUUGUUUAUUUUCUCUAUCCAACAUCAUUGCAGGUUGGUGUUUCCUCUCUUUCUCACUGCAGCUACCUAUGCCUCUAUUAUUCUAGGAUUUUGCAAGUUAAAUACUCAUGUGUGCUGAACUGAAAAGUUCUCUAUGCAACAUCUAUUGCAGGUUGGUGUUUCCUACCUAUGCCUCUAUUAUUCUAGGAUUUUGAAAGUUAAUUGCUCAUGUGUGCUGAAUUGAAAAGCUCAAUGAAAGGCACUUAUUUCUAUGCACAAAUGCUUUUGUUGCUAUAAGAAUCUGUAGAGAAGAAAUAUAUAUGUCUCCUCCGUUCAUUGCCCUUUUUUUGCGGGUAGUUCAUUGCCAUUUUGGAUUCAUAUGUGAAGUCUAUUGUUGUUAAUUACAGUUAACUAAUUUAUUAAUUCUUGGUUGUUUUAGUUGCUGACCAUAUGAUUGGUAGCCUUGGACAGAAGAGGGCCAGCAACAAACAGAAGCAACCACUGUCCUGUCCAGACAUGUAUAUCUUCAGUUUUGGUUGCCUUCCCUUUACUUGCCAACAAGCGACACUGAGCUCAUAUAUUUAUUGUUUGCUUUGUUAUAUACUUAAUCUACUAGAAAAAGUGUAAAAUGGAAAUUCAUGCUCGACAAUUUUGUAUAUUUAUAAACCUAGAUGCUACUUUAAUUGGUUUUACUUCUUCCAUAUAUUUUCUCCUCUCGGUGUGUAUAAAAAGUGCACAAAGUUAAUUUCUUUUCCUUCUCGACCGCAUCUAAUUUUAAAGAAAAUAGAGAGGAAUCUAAGAGAUAGACAACCAGAAGAACUUUGUUUCUUUGACUUUUCGGCCGUGUCUAACUUUUGGUAAAAGAGAGAGGAAUUUGAGAUAGAUAGACAACCUGAAGAGCUUUGAACAGCUUUGAACGUUCAAGUAUUGUGGGAUGAUUAACCAUUUUUUUUUCUGUUUCCCAUACUAUCUUCUCAUAUUAUAAUUUUGGUGUCAUGGUAGGCAGGGAUCAGCUUUGGUGGCAUCCGAUGCUGGCAGGCCACGGGGUUAGAGCAAAGGAAGCUGACAUGGUGUUCGAAAUUCAGAUGGUCAUUGUGAU